CCACGUUUUCCUCCGGUGCACACAGGAGAGGCUCCGUGACCGCGGGCACGCUGGCUUUCCCCUUUUCCGAGACGCACUGGCACAGUUUGUGAAUGCCCCUGCCGUGGAGAAGGCUGGCACUCCUGAGUAUCCGAGGCGGUCGUGCAAGGCACAGAUUAAAGCAGUGAUAACCGUGGAAAGCUUCGUCUGUCUUGUUUCUCUUGUCCUGUAAACUGCCUGUGGCCAUGUCAGAGCAGCUGCAGUCAGCAAUGGAGCUCAUGGGAGACAGCCCGAAGGAUAACCAAGCUACUCUGGAUACACCCGGAGGACUGUCUCCAGAAUGCCCCUUGCUUCUGCUGUGCUCCUUCUGUUUGCUGCUGCUGUGUUCCUGCUGGAUUUGGCAUGGUGUGAUUAUCAUAUGAAAAGAUCCCACUGUAUCUAGUAUAGUGUGACUGGUUCUUGGGAAAAUCCCACUCCUCACUGGGCAAUUCCCUUGCAGAUCAUGAUGAAGAUGAUUCUUAUAAGAGCAAUGAUGAUUAGUUAGAACUAUGAUUUAAAUGAACUUUCUGAAUUAGCCUAAAAGAUACAGGUGGUUAAGACAGUAAAGAUGAUUAGGAAAAUGGUCUAGGUUAUUGUGCCAAUUGCUCCACUAAGAGAUACAAAAAGACAAAUGUAGGCUAAAAGUCACCUUCCCCUCUUUUAGAUAUGGCAUUUACUGAGGAUGGAAAAUAAAAACAAGGAAGUUUCAUGCAUUAUAGACCCAUGAAUUCUACCUGUGGAAGAACAGGCUGACGAUUAAAUAAAACAAUUAUGUCCCUACACCCAAGGUUAGGCCUGAGUUCCUUGGUUAUGUAGCUUACAGAAUUAAUCACAAGCCCCAGUAUGCACCUUGAAAAAAACAAAGCUGUAAAAUGAUAUUAAAUGACUCUAUUGUGUGUAAAAAAAAUAGAUGGCCACUCAAAUGAAGUUUUGUAGGAAUCUGCUACACUGAAACCGCAAACCGCUUCCCACCAGAACAAAAGGAACUGGCUUGUGUAAAACUUUGUAAAUCAGUUAUAAAAGGAUCAUUGCUUUGGGGUGAAGAUGUUAUGGUGGGAAAAUUAAUAGAAAGAAAAAUGUCUAACUACUUGUGGGCUUCUAAGGAAAACAUGUAACUUGUGUUCUUAAUGUGAUUUCUUCUUAUGAAAAGAUUUUAAUUUGUUUUUGGAAAACA